GUGCUUACUUCAGCAGCACAUAUACUAAAAUUGGAAAAUACAGAGAAGAUUAGCAUGGCCUCUACACAAGGAUGACACGUGAAUUCAUGAAGCAUUCCAUAUUUUU